rnacentral:rRNA from 1 species
CCUACGGGUGGCAGCAGUGGGGAAUAUUGCACAAUGGGCGAAAGCCUGAUGCAGCAACGCCGCGUGAGCGAUGAAGGCCUUCGGGUCGUAAAGCUCUGUCCUCAAGGAAGAUAAUGACGGUACUUGAGAAGGAAGCUCCGGCUAACUACGUGCCAGCAGCCGCGGUAAUACGUAGGGGGCUAGCGUUAUCCGGAAUUACUGGGCGAAAAGGGUGCGUAGGUGGUUUGUAAAGUCAGAGGUGAAAGGCUGUGGCUCAACCGUAGUAAGCCUUUGAGACUGGGGAACUUGAGUGCAGGAGAGGAGAGUGGAAUUCCUAGUGUAGCAGUGAAAUGCGUAGAUAUUAGGAGGAACACCAGUUGCGAAGGCGGCUCUCUGGAAUGUAACUGACACUGAGGCACGAAAGCGUGGGGAGCAAACAGGAUUAGAUACCCGGGUAGUC